rnacentral:misc_RNA from 1 species
UCCGAAUUCCCAUGCUUCCAUAUCUAUAGUUUGUUAUGAACUGUAUGAAAAAUGCAGAACUAGGUUGGGCUUUCUGUUCAUCCCCUACUUCGAAAAAGAAGGCAAUACACAUUUUAUCAGUAAGUGUCCCCAAUUUCCACAUAUAGGUACCUCCCUCGCCAAUUUCUUUGUCACUGACUGAACCAUUCUUCUUCUGAAGAGAAACACAUGAACCCAGAGCCCCACAAAUUUUAACAUCCUUUGUUGUUACUAUCUCAAUAGUUGCAUCAAGACACAUUUUCAAAUUACCAACCUCAUCAUGGCUAAAUAUGUGACGCAAACACUUUCUGAACUGGUCCGAGUCAAAUGACUCUGUUAACAUCAUGAACCCCCCGGAACUUUCAACUGGAGCUCUAAGCUCAGCUGCUCCAACUUGAUCCAAUGAACAAGCAAAGAGAUCAAGAGCAAUGGACGAAUCAGACAAUCUUCUAGCUAUAUGCUUAUAGAAAUCACUGGACUUCUUGUAGUAUGGUGCAUAACCAUUAGGAAUCAGCGAGACAUUGGUAAUGGUUAUGCACCAUACU